CCUACGGGGGGCAGCAGUGGGGAAUAUUGCGCAAUGGGGGAAACCCUGAUGCAGCGACGCCGCGUGAGUGAAGAAGUAAUUCGGUAUGUAAAGCUCUAUCAGCAGGGAAGAAAAUGACGGUACCUGAGUAAGAAGCCACGGCUAACUACGUGCCAGCAGCCGCGGUAAUACGUAGGGGGCAAGCGUUAUCCGGAUUUACUGGGUGUAAAGGGAGCGUAGACGGCAGGGCAAGUCUGGAGUGAAAGGCGGGGGCUCAACCCCCGGACUGCUCUGGAAACUGUAAGGCUGGAGUGCAGGAGAGGUAAGUGGAAUUCCUAGUGUAGCGGUGAAAUGCGUAGAUAUUAGGAGGAACACCAGUGGCGAAGGCGGCUUACUGGACUGUAACUGACGUUGAGGCUCGAAAGCGUGGGGAGCAAACAGGAUUAGAUACCCCGGUAGUC
rnacentral:rRNA from 1 species